CCUACGUGAGGCAGCAGUGAGGAAUAGUGGUCAAUGGACGAGAGUCUGAACCAGCCAAGUAGCGUGAAGGAUGACUGCCCUAUGGGUUGUAAACUUCUUGUAUAUGGGAAUAAAAUGUGCCACGUGUGGGAUUUUGUAUGUACCAUAUGAAUAAGGAUCGGCUAACUCCGUGCCAGCAGCCGCGGUAAUACGGAGGAUCCGAGCGUUAUCCGGAUUUAUUGGGUUUACAGGGAGCGUAGGUGGCUUGUUAAGUCAGUUGUGAAAGUUUGCGGCUCAACCGUAAAAUUGCAGUUGAAACUGGCAGUCUUGCGUACAGUAGAGGUGGGCGGCCUUCGUGGUGUAGCGG
rnacentral:rRNA from 1 species